UCAGGAUGAACGCUGGCGGCGUGCUUAACACAUGCAAGUCGAACGAUGAACCUCACUUGUGGGGGGAUUAGUGGCGAACGGGUGAGUAACACGUGAGUAACCUGCCCUUGACUCUGGGAUAAGCCUGGGAAACUGGGUCUAAUACCGGAUAUGACCGACUAUCGCAUGGUGGUUGGUGGAAAGCUUUUGUGGUUUUGGAUGGACUCGCGGCCUAUCAGCUUGUUGGUGGGGUAAUGGCCUACCAAGGCGACGACGGGUAGCCGGCCUGAGAGGGUGACCGGCCACACUGGGACUGAGACACGGCCCAGACUCCUACGGGAGGCAGCAGUGGGGAAUAUUGCACAAUGGGCGGAAGCCUGAUGCAGCGACGCCGCGUGAGGGAUGACGGCCUUCGGGUUGUAAACCUCUUUCAGUAGGGAAGAAGCGUAAGUGACGGUACCUGCAGAAGAAGCGCCGGCUAACUACGUGCCAGCAGCCGCGGUAAUACGUAGGGCGCAAGCGUUAUCCGGAAUUAUUGGGCGUAAAGAGCUCGUAGGCGGUUUGUCGCGUCUGCCGUGAAAGUCCGGGGCUCAACUCCGGAUCUGCGGUGGGUACGGGCAGACUAGAGUGAUGUAGGGGAGACUGGAAUUCCUGGUGUAGCGGUGAAAUGCGCAGAUAUCAGGAGGAACACCGAUGGCGAAGGCAGGUCUCUGGGCAUUAACUGACGCUGAGGAGCGAAAGCAUGGGGAGCGAACAGGAUUAGAUACCCUGGUAGUCCAUGCCGUAAACGUUGGGCACUAGGUGUGGGGGACAUUCCACGUUUUCCGCGCCGUAGCUAACGCAUUAAGUGCCCCGCCUGGGGAGUACGGCCGCAAGGCUAAAACUCAAAGGAAUUGACGGGGGCCCGCACAAGCGGCGGAGCAUGCGGAUUAAUUCGAUGCAACGCGAAGAACCUUACCAAGGCUUGACAUGAACCGGAAACGCCUGGAAACAGGUGCCCCACUUGUGGUCGGUUUACAGGUGGUGCAUGGUUGUCGUCAGCUCGUGUCGUGAGAUGUUGGGUUAAGUCCCGCAACGAGCGCAACCCUCGUUCUAUGUUGCCAGCACGUGAUGGUGGGGACUCAUAGGAGACUGCCGGGGUCAACUCGGAGGAAGGUGGGGACGACGUCAAAUCAUCAUGCCCCUUAUGUCUUGGGCUUCACGCAUGCUACAAUGGCCGGUACAAAGGGUUGCGAUACUGUGAGGUGGAGCUAAUCCCAAAAAGCCGGUCUCAGUUCGGAUUGGGGUCUGCAACUCGACCCCAUGAAGUCGGAGUCGCUAGUAAUCGCAGAUCAGCAACGCUGCGGUGAAUACGUUCCCGGGCCUUGUACACACCGC
rnacentral:rRNA from 2 species